UACGGAGGGUGCAAGCGUUAAUCGGAAUAACUGGGCGUAAAGCGCACGCAGGCGGUUAGAUAAGUCAGAUGUGAAAGCCCCGGGCUCAACCUGGGAACUGCAUUUGAAACUGUCUGACUAGAGUCUUGUAGAGGGGGGUAGAAUUCCAGGUGUAGCGGUGAAAUGCGUAGAGAUCUGGAGGAAUACCGGUGGCGAAGGCGGCCCCCUGGACAGAGACUGACGCUCAGGUGCGAAAGCGUGGGGAGCAAACAGG
rnacentral:rRNA from 1 species